AUGGAUACAAAACUCAAACACUCCCUUACUUUCCUCACUUUUAUUCUUCUUGUUUCCUUCUUUGUCUCUUUGGCUCCUAAGGUAUCAGAAGCUAGGCCAUUGCUGAGUCCAUUACAAGGCAAAGAUAGUGUCAUUGGAGAGGUAAAUGGAGUGUUCAGGACAUUGAAGGGAGAAGGUCCAUCACCUGGAGUUGGUCAUAGGAUUAUAGGAGGGAUGAAAGAUUCUGGUCCAAGUUCUGGUGGUGUUGGACACUAA
rnacentral:lncRNA from 1 species